UCGUAUAUUUGUUAUCAAUGGUGCGCAUGCUCGAUGGCGACGUGACGUUGAGUCACGUGUUAAGACCUAUGAUGACAUGGGGGUAACCUGCUGCCAAUCAGGUCGCACGGAAAUUUGUCGGCCAAUCACACAGGCACGUAUGUUUAGAGGAGGAAGAACCUGGGACUGUGUUGCAUCAGUUACACCAUGACUACGGAAGAGAUGUGUGCAGGCUGCGAAUAUACGAACUGUCAGUUUAUCGCCAGUUCCCACAAUUUCUUCUUUAGGCUUGCCCAGUUAACUGUUUGAUCUCUGUGAUCAAUCGCUGGCUGUGCUCUUGGGGAUCCACAGGAUUGAGAUUCAUGACUGAAGCUUUCCAUCUGUUUUCUCCCUGAAAACAACAAAGUCAACAACAAUGUGAGGUCGCAUCUUCCAUGACUGUAACUGUAGAUAAGUAUAAAAAAUGACACUGGCAGAGUGAUGGAGUAAUUCUACAAUGUAUGAAAAACUGAAGGAUGAACUGAGAACGGACAGGGAGCAUCCAUUGAAGUCUGACAGCUUGGCUCCUUUCACUGCCACAACUGGUUGCUGUGAUCCAUCAAAUGUCUCUGCUUGAGUUCCCCAUAAUGCUAAUGCAUUUGUUCAACACGCCCCCACCCCACCCCGAGUCACUGGCUUCCCUUCCUUCGCCCUCAUUCAACCUGUUGCAUAGCAUUGGUAGUUGCUCCAAUACUUCACACUACCCCUCCUGCUUGAAAUAAUCAUCAUUUUAAAGGCUUGGUGAAAGUGCACCAAGUUUAAAAGACAAAAAUCAAAAUGGGUUUGAGACAAAACCAAAAAUGAAAGAUGGCAUGUAUACAAUACAGGGAAAAGUGAGUUUGGCAGGUUAUAGAACAAUGAUGAUAGUUUUGUCUUUGAUGCUGUGAAAUCAAUAAUACAUAUAACAAUCUUAAAAGUCAAGUAAAUUCCCACAAUAAAAAAAUUUUCUUAAAAGUACCAUGUGAUAAUUCCAUUUAACAUUGUGUGGGGUGACCAAUUAGUUUUGACCCUACGCAGAGAGCAGUGACAUAGGCAAAUCUCAUAGAAAAGUCUGCUUGUUGAAUGCAAUAUGGCUCUUGAUAUAAGGAAUCUGCUUGAAAACUGCAUCCUCGUUUUGUUAUAUAUA